UUUUUGAAACAGAAAUGUUUGCAGAGCACUUGGAGUCCAAGACAAAUUUCACUUUGGGGACAAUAAAGUGUACUGCAUCGUAAUAGAUUUUUUAUUUUAA